rfam:Mus musculus chromosome X, GRC primary reference assembly.
GGGGAUUUAGCUCAGUGGUAGAGCACUUGCCUAGCAAGCGCAAGGCCCUGGAUUCAGUCCUCA